AUUGAACGCUGGCGGCAGGCCUAACACAUGCAAGUCGAGCGAGCGGCGGACGGGUGUGAAAUGUGUGGGGACUGCCCGCUAGAGGGGGAUAACAACUGGAAACGGGAGCUAAUACCGCAUACUAUCUGAGACCCCACAGGGGAUGUGCUAGUAGGUGUGGUAAUGGGUCACCUAGGCGACGAUCCCGAGCUGGACUGAGAGGAGGAUCCGCCACACUGGAACGGAGACGCGGCCCAGACUCCUACGGAGGCAUCAGUGGGGAAUAUUGCACAAUGGGCGCAAGCCUGAUGCAGCCAUGCCGCGUGUAUGAAGAAGGCCCUAGGGUUGUAAAGUACGUUCAGUCGGGAGGCGUUACCGGCAGAAGAAGCACCGGCUAACUCCGUGCCAGCAGCCGCGGUAAUAC
rnacentral:rRNA from 1 species